GGAUGUGAAGGCAAUCUGGCUGCGACAUCUGUAACCCCAUUGAUUGCCAGGGUAGAUUCGGCUGAUCUGGCUGGCUAGGCGGGUGUCCCCUUCCUCCCUCACCGCUCCGUGUGCCUCCCUCCCGAAGCUGUGCGCUCGGUCGAAGAGGACGACCAUCCCCGAUAGAGGAGGACCGGUCUUCAGUCAAGGAUACGAGUAGCUGCACUCCCCUGCUAGAACCUCCAAACAAGUUCUUAAGACUGGCACUCUAUGACUUGAGUCACAGUGCCACUUCCAGCUUAGAGAUAAGAGUCUUAUCGCCCUGGCCGCU
ensembl:misc_RNA 7SK 7SK RNA